UCGAAAGGAGGAUUAAUACCGCAUAAGAUUGUAGUAUCGCAUGAUAUAGCAAUUAAAAGGAGCAAUUCGCUAUAAGAUGGACCCGCGUCGCAUUAGCUAGUUGGUGAGGUAAUGGCNCACCAAGGCGACGAUGCGUAGCCGACCUGAGAGGGUGAUCGGCCACAUUGGGGACUGAGACACGGCCCAGACUCCUACGGGAGGCAGCAUG
rnacentral:rRNA from 1 species